UACGUAUGGUGCAAGCGUUAUCCGGAUUUACUGGGUGUAAAGGGAGCGCAGGCGGCACGGCAAGCCUGAUGUGUAAGCCCGCGGCCCAACCGCGGGACUGCAUUGGGAACUACCGGGCUGGAGUGCCGGAGAGGUAGGCGGAAUUCCUAGUGUAGCGGUGAAAUGCGUAGAUAUUAGGAGGAACACCAGUGGCGAAGGCGGCCUACUGGACGGUGACUGACGCUGAGGCUCGAAAGCGUGGGGAGCAAACAGG
rnacentral:rRNA from 1 species